GACGAACGCUGGCGGCGGGCCUAACACAUGCAAGUCGAGCGAGCGGCGGACGGGUGAGUAAUGUAUGGGGACUGCCCGAUAGAGGGGGAUAACUACUGGCAACGGUGGCUAAUACCGCAUACUAUCGGAUAACCCAUAUGGGAUUCACUAGUAGGUGGGGUAAAGGCUCACCUAGGCGACGAUCUCUAGCUGGUCUGCGAGGAUGAUUAGCCACACUGCGACUGAGACACGGCCCAGAAUCCUACGGAGGCAGCAGUGGGGAAUAUUGCACAAGGGGCGCAAGCCGGAUGCAGCCAUGCCGAGUGUAUGAAGAAGGCCUUAGGGUUGUAAAGUACUUUCAGCGGGGAGGCGUUACCAGCAGAAGAAGCACCGGCUAACUCCGUGCCAGCAGCCGCGGUAAUAC
rnacentral:rRNA from 1 species